rnacentral:rRNA from 1 species
UAGGGAAUCUUCCGCAAUGGACGCAAGUCUGACGGAGCAACGCCGCGUGAGUGAAGAAGGAUUUCGGUUCGUAAAACUCUGUUGUUAGAGAAGAACAGCGCAUAGAGUAACUGUUAUGCGUGUGACGGUAUCUAACCAGAAAGCCACGGCUAACUACGUGCCAGCAGCCGCGGUAAUACGUAGGUGGCAAGCGUUGUCCGGAUUUAUUGGGCGUAAAGCGAGCGCAGGCGGUCAAUUAAGUCAGAUGUGAAAGCCCCCGGCUCAACCGGGGAGGGUCAUGGGAAACUAGUUGACUUGAGUGCAGAAGGAGAGAGCGUAAUUCCAUGGGUAGCGGUGAAAUGCAUAGAUAUAUGGAGGAACACCGGUGGCGAAAGCGGCUCUCUGGUCUGUAACUGACGAUGAGGCUCGAAAGCGUGGGGAGCGAACAGG